rnacentral:lncRNA from 1 species
AUGGGGAUAAUCAAUAUCGGUGGUCAAUGGGAUGAAACCAUUUGCAAUAUGAUCGCUUGUCAGCAUCCACCCUGCUGGGAGUCUAUGCGGAGAAUCGAAAGUGGGCAUCCUCACAUUUUGCUGAAGAACGUAGCCAUACCUGGAAGAAAUUUCCCAGCAUCCGAAGACAAACUGCCAACUCUGAAGAUUGUUGACCUUCCCCUCCAUUAUCCUCGGAGAGAACGAGUUAAAUGUGGGGGAGGUUUUGAUUCAAGCUCUAAGACAAUUUCCAGUAGCAAAGAAUCUAGAAAUUGCUUUUCAAAUUCUAUUCUGAAUGAUGGUUGGAUACCCCCCAUUUCGGUAUUGAGUUCAGAAAGGAAUCCUUUCCCAGGUCUGAACUCCAGAAUGGAAUCUCAGUGUCUCCAUUUCCCACCAAUAAAUUUCCCCUGCUCGAGGCAACCUGAGAAGAUGCAGGUGACAGACCCCUCCGUGUUUGUGGUGCACAGACUUUUCCAGCCAGCCUGUGGAAGCACGGUUUUCCGGUGGGUUCCAGACAAGCGACCCAGAUUCCUGCAGUCUCAGAAUCCUAAUGGGAGAAUAAAGAUGCCCCCACAAAAAAUAUGUGUGAAGGAUCUUGCUUUGGAAAAUCUCCUCUCUCUCAAGGAUCAUCAAGGGACUAAAAGAAAAAAGUCAAAUAAAGUUCCUACAGGAGGUCAGCCCUACUUUCGUUAUCUAAAGCGGAAUCAAAAGGCUAACAAUAAAUCAAGUUCUGUAGGCCAACAAAGGAACACAGAUGACAGCCUGCCCAGGACAGGGCGACACCUGGUGCCCGCUCUGCCUCUGUUGCUACAAAAUGAAGGUGUGACUCAGGGGAGCAAGAGAGGAAGGGCGCUGCGGGAGGCCAAGGAGAAAUUGGCAGCCUCCUUUAUUGUGCAGAAAGCGCCCCGUUUUGACCGAUCUGAAGCUAAGAUCCCCAUGAAAGACAAAGAUUCAGGAAGAAGCCUAGGCCGCCAGCCCAAGAUCAUCGUCUCAGCAGGCUCGCUGAUCCUGAGGCACCUGAUGGCAGAGCAGCUGCGGGAUGCUGGUAACCAUCAAGACAAGAAAGGAGGGGGCCUCCUUGAGCACAGCCAGAUGUCCCCAGAAUCUGCUGCAGGGAAUUGCAAGCUGCAGGCGUCUCCAACGGUGUUUGCUAAGAGAAAAUCUUGUGUGAAAGUUAUGGAAUAUAAGAGCAAUGUGGCAAGGCUGGGCAUGGAGGGCUGCGAUCCCUUUGCUUCCUGCCUGCCGAAAGCCGAGGUCAGGUGCAGGCAGUAUUACGAUCGCCUGGCAAGCUGGAAGGAGGCCACCCCGGCUGAGAGGGAUGCUUCAGACUUCAGCAGGGAGGCUUGGCCCGAAGAAGACUCCCAGGAAGCACCCAAGACUUUUGCUCCGCUGCAGCCCCUGGGGCCACCUCCCCCUCCCCCCUCCC